rnacentral:rRNA from 1 species
GUAGGGUCCAAGCGUUAAUCGGGAAUUACUGGGGCGUAAAGCGUGCGCAGGCGGUUGUGCAAGACCGAUGUGAAAUCCCCGAGCUUAACUUGGGAAUUGCAUUGGUGACUGCACGGCUAGAGUGUGUCAGAGGGGGGUAGAAUUCCACGUGUAGCAGUGAAAUGCGUAGAGAUGUGGAGGAAUACCGAUGGCGAAGGCAGCCCCCUGGGAUAACACUGACGCUCAUGCACGAAAGCGUGGGGAGCAAACAGGAUUAGAUACCCUGGUAGUCCACGCCCUAAACGAUGUCAACUAGUUGUUGGGGAUUCAUUUCCUUAGUAACGUAGCUAACGCGUGAAGUUGACCGCCUGGGGAGUACGGUCGCAAAGAUUA